GCCCGAAUGGCUCAGUGGUAAAGCGUCUCACUAGUACCUUGUUUCCCUUCCAGGUCUCACGAUCUUUGGUUAAUGUGUGAACGCAAUGAGAAGAUCGGCGGUUCGAUUCCGCCUUUGGGCA